rnacentral:rRNA from 1 species
UGGCUCAGGAUGAACGCUAGCUACAGGCUUAACACAUGCAAGUCGAGGGGCAGCAUGUGGUGCUGCAACCAAUGAUGGCGACCGGCGCACGGGUGAGUAACGCGUAUCCAACUUCCCUUAGUAGGGCAUAGCCCGUAGAAAUGCGGAUUAAUACCCUAUGUUGUAUAUUGAGGACAUCUGAUUUAUACCAAAGGGUUCACCGCUAAGGGAUGGGGAUGCGUCUGAUUAGGUUGUUGGCGGGGUAACGGCCCACCAAGCCUACGAUCAGUAGGGGUUCUGAGAGGAAGGUCCCCCACAUUGGAACUGAGACACGGUCCAAACUCCUACGGGAGGCAGCAGUGAGGAAUAUUGGUCAAUGGACGAGAGUCUGAACCAAGCCAAGUAGCGUGCAGGAUGACGGCCCUAUGGGUUGUAAACUGCUUUUAUACGGGGAUAAAGUGGGGGACGUGUCCCUUUUUGUAGGUACCGUAUGAAUAAGGACCGGCUAAUUCCGUGCCAGCCGCGGC